rnacentral:rRNA from 1 species
GACGAACGCUGGCGGCGUGCCUAAUACAUGCAAGUUGAGCGAUGAAGAUUGGUGCUUGCACCAAUUUGAAGAGCAGCGAACGGGUGAGUAACGCGUGGGGAAUCUGCCUUUGAGCGGGGGACAACAUUUGGAAACGAAUGCUAAUACCGCAUAACAACUUUAAACAUAAGUUUUAAGUUUGAAAGAUGCAAUUGCAUCACUCAAAGAUGAUCCCGCGUUGUAUUAGCUAGUUGGUGAGGUAAAGGCUCACCAAGGCGAUGAUACAUAGCCGACCUGAGAGGGUGAUCGGCCACAGUGGGACUGAGACACGGCCCAAACUCCGACGGGAGGCAGCAGGAGGGAAUCUUCGGCAAUGGACGAAAGUCUGACCGAGCAACGCCGCGUGAGUGAAGAAGGGUGUCGGAUCGUAAAACUCUGUUGGUAGAGAAGAACGUUGGUGAGAGUGGAAAGCUCAUCAAGUGACGGUAACUACCCAGAAAGGGACGGCUAACUACGUG